AUUGAACGCUGGCGGCAUGCCUUACACAUGCAAGUCGAACGGUAACGGGCCUUCGGGUGCCGACGAGUGGCGAACGGGUGAGUAAUGUAUCGGAACGUACCUUUCAGUGGGGGAUAACGUAGCGAAAGUUACGCUAAUACCGCAUAUUCUGUGCGCAGGAAAGCAGGGGAUCGCAAGACCUUGCGCUGAUUGAGCGGCCGAUAUCAGAUUAGCUAGUUGGUGAGGUAAAGGCUCACCAAGGCGACGAUCUGUAGCGGGUCUGAGAGGAUGAGCCGCCACACUGGAACUGAGACACGGUCCAGACUCCUACGGGAGGCAGCAGUGGGGAAUUUUGGACAAUGGGGGCAACCCUGAUCCAGCCAUGCCGCGUGAGUGAAGAAGGCCUUCGGGUUGUAAAGCUCUUUCGGCCGGGAAGAAAUCGUAUCAGCUAAUACCUGGUGCGGAUGACGGUACCGGCAUAAGAAGCACCGGCUAACUACGUGCCAGCAGCCGCCGUAAUAC
rnacentral:rRNA from 1 species